rnacentral:rRNA from 1 species
UAUGUGAUCGUCUCUCGCAUAUCAAUAAGCGGAGGAAAAGAAACUAACAAGGAUUCCCCUAGUAACGGCGAGUGAAGCGGGAAGAGCUCAAAUUUGAAAUCUUAAAGGGUUUCCCUUUACGAAUUGUAGUUUAAAGAAGUGUUUUCUGUUGAGGUUUUGGUAAAAGUUCUUUGGAAUAGGACAUCAUAGAGGGUGAGAAUCCCGUAUUUGACCUUUACUUUCAACUUUGUGAUACACUUUCAAAGAGUCGGAUUGUUUGGGAAUGCAGUCCAAAAUGGGUGGUAAAUUUCAUCUAAAGCUAAAUAUUGGCGAGAGACCGAUAGCGAACAAGUACCGUGAGGGAAAGAUGAAAAGAACUUUGAAAAGAGAGUUAAACAGUACGUGAAAUUGUCAAAAGGGAAGCGUUUGACACCAGUGUUGUUUUUCUGAAAAUCAAUUAAAGAACUGUUUAUGCUAAGCUGUUUAGACUUUAUCAGCUAAUCUGUUUAGUUUUGAGCUUUUCUUUAAUGCACUUUUCAGUUAACAAGUCAACAUCAAUUUCUUUUGCUGUAAAAAAGGCUUGAGGAAGGUGGCUUGAGAUUCGUCUUAAGUGUUUAUAGCCUCUUGCCUAUGCAGUCGGAGAGAUUGAGGUCUGCAGCGUAGAUCCUUCGGGGCUAAAUGCAUUUGUGCUAAGUUAUAGCAUUUUAUAGACAACUUGUUGACUAUGAUUUGUCUUGUAGCUUACUCGCUUAUGUUAUUUUACCUACGCUUAGGAUGUUGAUCUGUAGUGCGUGCGC